GGGGCCGUAACGGUUUCGACAGGUUGGCGAACCCUAUCCCGUGAUGCAGGUCGAGAGUGAGUCGGCUCUCGUAAAUCAAAGGCUCAAACAAAAAAGUAAAUGCGAACAAUAUCGUACCUUUUGCUCGUAAAGCCGCUCCUGUAGCAGCCUAAUAAUCUCAUAUAGAUUCGAGCGUCUGUAAUUCGACUCCGUUAAGGAUUACGGACAUAAACCCAACGGAUGCCCUCUAUAGUUACCUCUAGUUGACUAUUGAGUUAAGAUUUUACUAGAGAAUCCCACUAUCAGGGAUAAGAGAUAGUCCCCGUCUUUUGGGUUAAAAAGACUAAACCUGUGAAUGAUCGAACAGCUAAUACCCAAUUUGGACAGCAGUUCGACUCUGCUCGGCUCCAC
rnacentral:tmRNA from 1 species